GACGAACGCUGGCGGCGUGCCUAAUACAUGCAAGUAGAACGCUGAAGAGAGGAGCUUGCUCUUCUUGGAUGAGUUGUGAACGGGUGAGUAACGCGUAGGUAACCUGCCUGGUAGCGGGGGAUAACUAUUGGAAACGAUAGCUAAUACCGCAUGAUAUUAAUUGUCGCAUGAUAAUUAAUUGAAAGAUGCAAUUGCAUCACUACCAGAUGGACCUGCGUUGUAUUAGCUAGUUGGUGAGGUAACGGCUCACCAAGGCGACGAUACAUAGCCGACCUGAGAGGGUGAUCGGCCACACUGGGACUGAGACACGGCCCAGACUCCUACGGGAGGCAGCAGUAGGGAAUCUUCGGCAAUGGGGGGAACCCUGACCGAGCAACGCCGCGUGAGUGAAGAAGGUUUUCGGAUCGUAAAGCUCUGUUGUAAGAGAAGAACGGGUGUGAGAGUGGAAAGUUCACACUGUGACGGUAUCUUCC
rnacentral:rRNA from 1 species